rfam:Picea glauca, whole genome shotgun sequence.
GUAUAUGCUUAUAGCAUAGUAUUAAUGCAUUUGAUCCCAUUAGAACUCCACAGUUAAGCGUGCUCAGUCUAGAGUAGUAUUGGGGUGGGUGAUCACUUGGGAAGUCAUAGUGUUUUACAUG